CGGUGAGCAGCCAGCCGGUCCGCUCCUCAUCCGGUCCGGCCUUCACCUUCACCUCUUUGUUGACGUAGCGGAGCCACCGGACCGGACCCAACAGAGGCCAGGCGACCUGCAUCGCUCCGUCUGUCGGAGCAGUAUGACGGGCAGGAGAAAUGUGGAAAUGAAAAGUGAGGAGUCCAGGUGUGGGUGAAAACAUCCAGACCCGAAGUGUCGAUCGAGCUUUCUUCGUGUUUUUGGGAGGACAGUGAAGCCUGCAUAUUUUUAGGUGCAAAAAUGUCCUUUUUUGACGCACCAUCACCACUCUUCAGUCUCUCACCAGCGACUGCUGCAGCACAAACACAGAUGCCAAGCACAAAGCCCAAGGCCAGGACGCUGGUAGCAGGCAUGCAGCUGACGGAUGGCAACGAGGCGGCCUCUCUCAGGGACCAAUCACAAUGACACCAUGCAGCACACCAUCUGGGGGGAUGCCAGGAAGUAACGCCCCCAAACUACCACCUGGGUACAGUGAAACAGACCAAAAGCGUCGACACCCCCAGGAUCAGGAGCAGAUCCGUGAUAAAGGCUUCAGUGGGACCCCCUUCCACCACCAAUGAAAUGAAGACCAUAACAUCCCCAAACUGAGACCACUGAGAGCUACGGAGCAGCCAGGUUAACAGUACUCUCUCAUUUCUGUCUUCAAGUCAUGUUAGUUUUGCAGCCAUCGAGAUAUUUGCUAUCUCCGAUGGUGGCAAAGAAAUGCAGAAUGUCAAUAAACUUAGGCCGAGAGAACAAAAAGAGUAUGAACA